rnacentral:lncRNA from 1 species
GUCUCUAUUAGGGUCCUCCUUGUUUCCUAGCUUCUCUGAUGGUGUGGAUUGUAGGCUGGUAAUCCUUUGCUCUGUGUCUAAAAUCCAUAUAUGAGUGAGUAAUACCAUGUUUGUCUUUUUGUGACUGGUAGACGAGGAUCUUAAGGCUAGAAUGGAACUACUUUAAGUCUCUCUUCACAGUGAGCCCCCCUUCUCUGCCUGCCUGAGAGCCCAGAGCAGUGGUUCUCACCCUUCCUAAUGCUACAACCCUUUAAUAAGUUCCUCAUGUUGUAGUAACCCCCCUACAAUAAAAUUAUUUUUGUUGCUACUUCAUAACUGUAAUUUUGUUGCUGUUAUGAAUUGUAAUGUAAAUAUCCAUGUUUUCUGAGGGUCUUUAGGUGACCCCUGUGAAAGGGUCAUUUGAUCCCCAAAAGGGUUGUGACUCACAGCUUGAGAACCACCGUCCUGGAGGUUCUUUCAGAGGCCAGGAUAAUGAGUGAAAAGAUGCCAGGCAGAAGCCAUAGUCAUUUUGACAAAAUCUAAAAGGGUUUUAGAAGGAAGGAAGGGGCUGAUGUUGUUACCACUGCAGCAGCCCAGGAAGAGCAAUGUGAGGCCCCAGCCAUAGGACCUGUUUGAAUCUCUCCGUCCCCGCUCCUUGGGAGCAGGGAGUGUUGAUGUAUAGGAAGCAGAGGACAGGUAAAUCCGUGUUUGCCUCAACACGGACUAGGACUACAGCCUGGGGCCUAUGGCGCUGAUUCACUUGGGUGAGUCCCAGGAGGCUGAAGGGGGUGGAGGAAGAGUCAGGCUGCAGCUAUGAAGUGGAAGAGCAGCCACUAAAGCCUGGGACAAGGGAUGAUGAAGAGUCAUACUGAGACUGGAAUUUGGGAUGGGUUCAUUACAUGAAGGCUUCAUUGCCUGGAGGCCUCCUCCUGUCAUGAGGGCAGUGCUAAUACUCUGGGGACAACUGGAGCAACCAAGCAGGCAGGCCUGUGACAAAGGCCUGGAUAUGUCACGAGGCCUAUCUAAUAGGACUUCUCUCCUGGGCUUCUGCAACUACCACCCUGCCAGCAUCCAAAAGCAGGCAGCAAGGAGAGCUGGGCAGAGUCCAAAGGCUCAGUAUAGACACCUACCAGGCAUGUAAUGACAGUUGGGGAGGGAAGAUGCUGCAACAGGACACGGCAUGAUCACCUCCAAGAUAACCCAUCUGGCCUGGAUGUCUUCUUCAGACAUCCUUCCCUGUCCCCUGACCCUCCAGGCCUCAGCCUCAAUGGAACAUCGAAUGAGCAGUAAUUACACUGGCCAGGUCCCAUCUGUCAAUCCCAAGAGAACUCACUGCACUGGCAGGUGGCAGGAAAUCUGACUCCUGCUCAGAAGGGACAUCUAAUCCUUUCGUGGCUCGGGUCAUCAGUGACUAGGUAAGCAUAAAAACAGCAUCGUAGCCUCCUAGGACAGAAAGAAUGAGGGAAAGAUGGGGCCAAUAAGUUUGGGACAGUCACUGUUGCCAUCUGAAUGGCUUUCUUCAGGUGCUUUCUGUGUGUUAACUACUUUUCUCACUGCCAUGACAAAUAAAAGCUACAAAAGAAAGGGUUUUAGUCGCA